CAGCCGCCGCGGUAAUACGGAGGGUGCAAGCGUUAAUCGGAAUUACUGGGCGUAAAGCGUGCGUAGGCGGUUCGUUAAGUCUGUUGUGAAAGCCCCGGGCUCAACCUGGGAAUGGCAAUGGAUACUGGCGAGCUAGAGUGUGUCAGAGGAUGAUGGAAUUCCCGGUGUAGCGGUGAAAUGCGUAGAGAUCGGGAGGAACAUCAGUGGCGAAGGCGGCCAUCUGGGACAACACUGACGCUGAGGCACGAAAGCGUGGGGAGCAAACAGGAUUAGAUACCCCCGUAGUCCCUGUCUCUUAUAC
rnacentral:rRNA from 1 species